rnacentral:lncRNA from 12 species
GACACAGGCAGAGGGAGAAGCAGGCUCCAUGCAGGAGCCCAAUGCAAGAUUCGAUCCCGGAACCCCAGGAUCAUGCCCUGAGCCGAAGGCAGAGAGGCUCAACCACUGAGCCACCCAGGUGUCCCAUAAUGUUUCUAUUUUGAGUGCAAUUGAUUUUUUUUUUUUUUUUAAGAAGGCUCCACACCCAGCAUGGAGCCCAACACAGGACCUGAACUCAUGACCGUGAGAUGAACAAUGUAUCUGGAAUCAACAACAGACACUUAAUUGACUGAGGCAACCAAGCACCCCAAGUACAAUUGAUUAUUUAAGGAAUGUCAACAACCUUGAUUUCUUUCCUGAACCUAUGGAGCAACAGUAACAAUCUCUGAUUCACUUAAAGGCACUUGCAGAUUUUUCCCUUCUUCAGCAACCUAUAAGCAGCAGAUAUGGAUGAUAUACAUGACAUCAUUUUCUGUAUUAUCUACUGAAAACACAAAAUGUCCUUUGGUUUCCAGAAGCAGACUAAGGGAAAUUACACUAAUUAUCCUAAAGGUUGACAGAUAUUGGCUGGAAAAUAUGUCACGUAGAAAGGGGAUUUCAAUGUGCUUCACUACUGAAAAUAUUUUGCUGGAUUUUGAACCAAGAAUAAGCUAAGUCUGAAUGAUCUAUUCAAUUGUAUCAAGCCCAUCAAUUUCAGAAAACUUGCUCUAUUUCUAUUGUUGGCAAUUGCCAACACUAAACUCCUAAACUCACAAACUCACAAAAAUUAAAGAGAUAACCUUUCUCACACAAUUCCUUUAAUUAAUAUAACUGUAAAGAUAUUGGCCCCAAGGAAUAAAUGUUAUUUCCUUACAUACA